rnacentral:rRNA from 1 species
ACUGAGCUUAGAGUUUGAUCCUGGCUCAGAUUGAACGCUGGCGGCAGGCUUAACACAUGCAAGUCGAGCGGGGUGAUGGUGCUUGCACUAUCACCUAGCGGCGGACGGGUGAGUAAUGCUUAGGAAUCUGCCUAUUAGUGGGGGACAACAUUUCGAAAGGAAUGCUAAUACCGCAUACGUCCUACGGGAGAAAGCAGGGGAUCUUCGGACCUUGCGCUAAUAGAUGAGCCUAAGUCGGAUUAGCUAGUUGGUGGGGUAAAGGCCUACCAAGGCGACGAUCUGUAGCGGGUCUGAGAGGAUGAUCCGCCACACUGGGACUGAGACACGGCCCAGACUCCUACGGGAGGCAGCAGUGGGGAAUAUUGGACAAUGGGCGCAAGCCUGAUCCAGCCAUGCCGCGUGUGUGAAGAAGGCCUUAUGGUUGUAAAGCACUUUAAGCGAGGAGGAGGCUACUUUAGAUAAUACCUAGAGAUAGUGGACGUUACUCGCAGAAUAAGCACCGGCUAACUCUGUGCCAGCAGCCGCGGUAAUACAGAGGGUGCAAGCGUUAAUCGGAUUUACUGGGCGUAAAGCGCGCGUAGGCGGCUAAUUAAGUCAAAUGUGAAAUCCCCGAGCUUAACUUGGGAAUUGCAUUCGAUACUGGUUAGCUAGAGUGUGGGAGAGGAUGGUAGAAUUCCAGGUGUAGCGGUGAAAUGCGUAGAGAUCUGGAGGAAUACCGAUGGCGAAGGCAGCCAUCUGGCCUAACACUGACGCUGAGGUGCGAAAGCAUGGGGAGCAAACAGGAUUAGAUACCCUGGUAGUCCAUGCCGUAAACGAUGUCUACUAGCCGUUGGGGCCUUUGAGGCUUUAGUGGCGCAGCUAACGCGAUAAGUAGACCGCC